rnacentral:rRNA from 1 species
UGGGGAAUAUUGCACAAUGGACGGAAGUCUGAUGCAGCAACGCCGCGUGCGGGAUGACGGCCUUCGGGUUGUAAACCGCUUUUUCUCAUGACGAAGUUCUUUGACGGUAGUGGGGGAAGAAGCACCUGCUAACUACGUGCCAGCAGCCGCGGUGAUACGUAGGGUGCGAGCGUUGUCCGGAAUUAUUGGGCGUAAAGAGCUUGUAGGCGGUUUGUCGCGUCGAUAGUGCAAACUCAGUGCUUAACGCUGAGCCUGCUGUUGAUACGGGCAGACUAGAGGAAGGUAGGGGAGAAUGGAAUUCCCGGUGGAGCGGUGGAAUGCGCAGAUAUCGGGAGGAACACCGGUGGCGAAGGCGGUUCUCUGGGCCUUUACUGACGCUGAGAAGCGAAAGCGUGGGGAGCGAACAGG